CUGUGUGUGUUGUAGGUGAGUGUGGGGAAGUGUGUAGUUAUUUAUACUGUGUGUGUUGUAGGUGAGUUUGGGGAAGUGUGUAGUUAUUUAUACUGUGUGUGUUGUAGGUGAGUGUGGGGAGGUGUGUAGUUAUUUAUACUGUGUGUGUUGUAGGUGAGUUUGGGGAAGUGUGUAGUUAUUUAUACUGUGUGUGUUGUAGGUGAGUUUCGGGAAGUGUGUAGUUAUUUAUACUGUGUGUGUUGUAAGUGAGUUUGGGGAAGUGUGUAGUUAUUUAUACUGUGUGUGUUGUAGGUGAGUGUGGGGAGGUGUGUAGUUAUUUAUACUGUGUGUGUUGUAGGUGAGUUUGGGGAAGUGUGUAGUUAUUUAUGCUGUGUGUGUUGUGGGGGAGUGUGUAGUUAUUUAUACUGUGUGUGUUGUAGGUGAUUGUGGGGAAGUGUGUAGUUAUUUAUACUGUGUGUGUUGUAGGUGAGUGUGGGGAGGUGUGUAGUUAUUUAUACUGUGUGUGUUGUAGGUGAUUGUGGGGAAGUGUGUAGUUAUUUAUACUGUGUGUGUUGUAGGUGAGUGUGGGGAGGUGUGUAGUUAUUUAUACUGUGUGUGUUGUAGGUGAUUGUGGGGAAGUGUGUAGUUAUUUAUACUGUGUGUGUUGUAGGUGAGUGUGGGGAGGUGUGUAGUUAUUUAUACUGUGUGUGUUGUAGGUGAUUGUGGGGAAGUGUGUAGUUAUUUAUACUGUGUGUGUGUUGUAGGUG